rnacentral:rRNA from 1 species
UACAGAGGUCCCAAGCGUUGUUCGGAUUCAUUGGGCGUAAAGGGUGCGUAGGCGGCGCGGUAAGUCGGGUGUGAAAUUUCGGAGCUUAACUCCGAAACUGCAUUUGAUACUGCCUUGCUUGAGGACUGGAGAGGAGACUGGAAUUCACGGUGUAGCAGUGAAAUGCGUAGAUAUCGUAAGGAAGACCAGUGGCGAAGGCGAAUCUCUGGACAGUUACUGACACUGAGGCACGAAGGCCAGGGGAGCAAACAGG